GUCCAUCAGUGCGCCGCCGGCCGACGGGACGAAUCCCCUGGCCACGCUGCCAUCUCCCUCUGCCGCCACCAGCAGUACGUGCUCCUGCUUCCCUCUGCCGCCCCGUCCCUUCUCGACGCCCCCCUCACUCACACUUCGCCUUCCUCCAUAGCCCUUCCCAUCAUGGCCCCGACCCCCCUGUGCCUCCAUGUCGCCAGCCACAUCUAGCCGUUCGGAACUCUUCUGAUCUGAACCUGGUCGUCCUUGCCCACCUAUUGCUCCAAUCCAAGUGCCUCGCCUGUUGGUUGGCUUUUGCCUCUUCGACGAUCAUACCCGGGCAGCAAAGAGGCCGUAAAUCACCUCCUCCUCAUGCCCAUAUGAUCACCCAAGCACUCGUGCUGGCCGUCUCCUUGUUCUUCCUCUUCACCAGAAGAUACAGCCAGAUUUUGUUGCUCUUUUGAAGAGUCGAUCAAGCCACUUCUCGCUGCAUACUCCAAUGUAAUUUUGUCCUGAUAUACUGAAGGCAUGAUUACUUGCUAGAGCACAAGAAUCAGAUGAAAGGAACUUGCUGUUCACAGAUAUUGACACGUGAUGAUCGGUACAAUCCAUCAAUUAGUAAUGAAAGGGCUGGCACCGUCAAGGUCGAUUUCCUGGUUACCAUGAAUCCUAAUGAAUUCCAGAUACAUCGUACCUCUAAAUAAUGUUAUUCUGAAGGCCGAUUUCCUGGUUACCAUGAAUCCUAAUGAAUUCCAGAUACAUCGUACCUCUAAACAUUUUCUUGGGAAUAAUAUGAUGAGCACGGUCACAAUAAUGAGACUGGCCUCAGAACAUUGGUGAUUCCUCUCUUGCCAAAUAUGCCAUAGGAAGGCAUUUCAAGCUGGAAGUGCAUUUGUUUGCAGCAAUAACGUAGUUACAGCAGCAGUGAAUGUAUUAUUCAUCAGUUAUGUGUGGUGCAAAAUGAUAACUGAAUACUUAGAAAUGCCUGAAUAUUAAACACCCAUUAAA